UACGUAGGGGGCAAGCGUUGUCCGGAAUCAUUGGGCGUAAAGAGCUCGUAGGCGGUUCGGCAAGUCACGUGUGAAAUCUCCACGCUUAACGUGGAGGCGCCACGUGAAACUGCCGUGACUCGAGUCCGGUAGGGGAGUGUGGAAUUCCCGGUGUAGCGGUGAAAUGCGCAGAUAUCGGGAGGAACACCAGUAGCGAAGGCGGCACUCUGGGCCGGUACUGACGCUGAGGAGCGAAAGCGUGGGGAGCGAACAGG
rnacentral:rRNA from 1 species